rnacentral:tRNA from 1 species
GGGCCUGUGGUUGAAUGGUACAAUUCUCGGCUGGCAGUCGAGAGGCCCGGGUUCGAUCCCCGGCAGGUCCA